AUGAUGCUGAGAGCGGGUUUAAAGAAAAAUUUGAAGAUGUGGGAAGAAUGUCUCCCCCACGUGGAAUUUGCAUACAAUAGGGCAGUACAUUCGACCACUAAAUUUUGUCCUUUUGAAAUUGUUUAUGGUUUCAAACCUGCUGCUCCCAUAGAUCUUUUGCCUUUACCAUUGCAGGAGCGAACCAAUCUUGAUGCAAGUAAGCGUGCUGACUUCGUGAAGAAAAUUCAUGAGAAGACCAAGGAAAAUAUUGAGAAGAUGACUGAACAAUAUGCAAAACGAGCAAACAAGGAAAGAAAGAAGGUGUUGUUUGAAGAAGGUGAUCUUGUGUGGGUACACUCGCGGAAGGAUCGUUUCCCAGAUCAACGCAAAUGCAAGUUGCAGCCACGUGGAGAUGGUCCAUUCAAAGUUCUUACGAAGAUCAAUGACAAUGCCUACAAGAUUGACCUUCCGAUGGAUUAUGGUGUUAGUCCAACUUUCAAUGUGUCCGACCUCUCUCCAUACUUUGGACCAUCAGAGUCGAGGACGACUCCUCUUCAAGAGGGGGAGGAUGAUGAGGACACCACAACCAUCGACAAGUCUCCAACAAUUAUAGGUCCAAUCACAAGAAGUCGCGCCAAACAAAUAAGUGACCAGGUGAACGCUAACUUAAGUUUACCUUGUAACCUUGAUGACACAACUAUGAUUUCAUCUCCAUUGUUGUUGGUUGAACUUAGGUAUAACAUGGAAGCAAUCCAACAAUCUAUGAGCUCAUGA
rnacentral:rRNA from 1 species